CGGCGGCCGUAACUAUAACGGUCCUAAGGUAGCGAAAUUCCUUGUCGGGUAAGUUCCGACCUGCACGAAUGGCGUAAUGAUGGCCAGGCUGUCUCCACCCGAGACUCAGUGAAAUUGAACUCGCUGUGAAGAUGCAGUGUACCCGCGGCAAGACGGAAAGACCCCGUGAACCUUUACUAUAGCUUGACACUGAACAUUGAGCCUUGAUGUGUAGGAUAGGUGGGAGGCUUUGAAGUGUGGACGCCAGUCUGCAUGGAGCCGACCUUGAAAUACCACCCUUUAAUGUUUGAUGUUCUAACGUGGACCCGUAAUCCGGGUUGCGGACAGUGUCUGGUGGGUAGUUUGACUGGGGCGGUCUCCUCCUAAAGAGUAACGGAGGAGCACGAAGGUUGGCUAAUCCUGGUCGGACAUCAGGAGGUUAGUGCAAUGGCAUAAGCCAGCUUGACUGCGAGCGUGACGGCGCGAGCAGGUGCGAAAGCAGGUCAUAGUGAUCCGGUGGUUCUGAAUGGAAGGGCCAUCGCUCAACGGAUAAAAGGUACUCCGGGGAUAACAGGCUGAUACCGCCCAAGAGUUCAUAUCGACGGCGGUGUUUGGCACCUCGAUGUCGGCUCAUCACAUCCUGGGGCUGAAGUAGGUCCCAAGGGUAUGGCUGUUCGCCAUUUAAAGUGGUACGCGAGCUGGGUUUAGAACGUCGUGAGACAGUUCGGUCCCUAUCUGCCGUGGGCGCUGGAGAACUGAGGGGGGCUGCUCCUAGUACGAGAGGACCGGAGUGGACGCAUCACUGGUGUUCGGGUUGUCAUGCCAAUGGCACUGCCCGGUAGCUAAAUGCGGAAGAGAUAAGUGCUGAAAGCAUCUAAGCACGAAACUUGCCCCGAGAUGAGUUCUCCCUGAGACUUAGAGUCUCCUGAAGGAACGUUGAAGACGACGACGUUGAUAGGCCGGGUGUGUAAGCGCAGCGAUGCGUUGAGCUAACCGGUACUAAUGAACCGUGAGGCUUAACCUUACA
rnacentral:rRNA from 1 species